UACAGAGGUCCCAAGCGUUGUUCGGAUUCAUUGGGCGUAAAGGGUGCGUAGGUGGCGCCGUAAGUGGGGUGUGAAAUUUCGGAGCUUAACUCCGAAACUGCAUUCCAUACUGCGGUGCUUGAGGACUGGAGAGGAGACUGGAAUUCAUGGUGUAGCAGUGAAAUGCGUAGAGAUCAUGAGGAAGACCAGUGGCGAAGGCGGGUCUCUGGACAGUUCCUGACACUGAGCACGAAGGCCAGGGGAGCAAACGGG
rnacentral:rRNA from 1 species